rnacentral:rRNA from 1 species
UUUUGGACAAUGGGCGCAAGCCUGAUCCAGCCAUGCCGCGUGCGGGAAGAAGGCCUUCGGGUUGUAAACCGCUUUUGUCAGGGAAGAAACGGUUUGGGCUAAUACCCCGAACUAAUGACGGUACCUGAAGAAUAAGCACCGGCUAACUACGUGCCAGCAGCCGCGGUAAUACGUAGGGUGCAAGCGUUAAUCGGAAUUACUGGGCGUAAAGCGUGCGCAGGCGGCUUUGCAAGACAGAUGUGAAAUCCCCGGGCUCAACCUGGGAACUGCAUUUGUGACUGCAAGGCUGGAGUGCGGCAGAGGGGGAUGGAAUUCCGCGUGUAGCUGUGAAAUGCGUAGAUAUGCGGAGGAACACCGAUGGCGAAGGCAAUCCCCUGGGCCUGCACUGACGCUCAUGCACGAAA